GUAGGUGGCAAGCGUUGUCCGGAAUUAUUGGGCGUAAAGCGCGCGCAGGCGGUUCUUUAAGUCUGAUGUGAAAGCCCACGGCUCAACCGUGGAGGGUCAUUGGAAACUGGAGAACUUGAGUACAGAAGAGGAAAGCGGAAUUCCACGUGCAGCGGUGAAAUGCGUAGAGAUGUGGAGGAACACCAGCGGCGAAGGCGGCUUUCUGGUCUGUAACUGACGCUGAGGCGCGAAAGCGUGGGGAGCAAACAGGAUUAGAUACCCUGGUAGUCCACGCCGUAAACGAUGAGUGCUAAGUGUUAGGGGGUUUCCGCCCCCCUUAGUGCUGCAGCUAACGCAUUAAGCACUCCGCCUGGGAGUACGGCCGCAAGGCUG
rnacentral:rRNA from 1 species